rnacentral:rRNA from 1 species
UACGUAGGGGGCGAGCGUUGUCCGGAAUUAUUGGGCGUAAAGAGCGUGUAGGCGGUCCGGUAAGUCCGCUGUGAAAGUCCAGGGCUCAACCCUGGAAUGCCGGUGGAUACUGCCGGGCUAGAGUCCGGAAGAGGCGAGUGGAAUUCCUGGUGUAGCGGUGAAAUGCGCAGAUAUCAGGAGGAACACCGGUGGCGAAGGCGGCAUCCUGGACCGGCAUUGACGCUGAUGAGCGAAAGCCAGGGGGAGCAAACGGG